rnacentral:tRNA from 1 species
GAGGGUAUAGCUCAGUGGUAGAGUGCGUGCUUAGGUUCAAUCCUGGGUUCAAUCCCCAGUAUCUCCA